GACGAACGCUGGCGGCGUGCCUAAUACAUGCCAGUCGAACGCUGAAGGAGGAGCUUGCUUCUCUGGAUGAGUUGCGAACGGGUGAGUAACGCGUAGGUAACCUGCCUGGUAGCGGGGGAUAACUAUUGGAAACGAUAGCUAAUACCGCAUAAUAGUAGAUGUUGCAUGACAUUUGCUUAAAAGGUGCAAUUGCAUCACUACCAGAUGGACCUGCGUUGUAUUAGCUAGUUGGUGGGGUAACGGCUCACCAAGGCGACGAUACAUAGCCGACCUGAGAGGGUGAUCGGCCAACUGGGAACGGGGACAGGCCCCGGAUUCCACGGGGAGGAAGCAGAAGGAAAUCUUGGGAAAGGGACGGAAGCCGGACGGGGCAAGGCGGGGGGGGGGAGGAGGGUUUCGGAUCGUAAAGCUCUGUUGUAAGAGAAGAACGAGUGUGAGAGUGGAAAGUUCACACUGUGACGGUAUCUUACCAGAAAGGGACGGCUAACUACGUG
rnacentral:rRNA from 1 species